GGGUCAAUCCGGGCCGAACCCUGGUCACAGCGGGCCGAACCCGGGUCAAACCGGGCCGAGCCCGGGUCACAGCGGGCCGAGCCCGGGUCAAACCGGGCCGAACCCGGGUCAAACUGGGCCGAACCCGGGUCACAGCGGGCCUCCCCCGGCCGGAACGGCCGCAGCAGCCAGGGCAGGAGCGGGUCCCGCCGGGAGCCCAGGAAGUACGCGGGGAUGGCCGGGGAAACCGGGCUGGGAGCGCGAUGGGAACCGGGAACCGCCGGGUUUAAACCGGGAUUGGAACCAGGAUUGGAACCGGGAACCGCACAGGGAAUCGCCGGGUUUAAACCGGGAUUGGAACCGGGAUUGGAACCGGGAUUGGCACCGGGAAUCGCCGGGUUUAAACCGGGAUUGGAACCGGGAGUCAACGGGUUUCCACCGGUAUUCCCCGACUUUUCAUGGAUAUUCCCCGAAUUCCCACAGGGAUCCCCCAAAUUCCCAUCGGAAUUCCCGGGACAACUCCCGGUGUUCCCCCCUGAAUUCCCGGGACAAUUCCCGUUAUUCCCGGGACAAUUCCCGGUGUUUUUCCCGGUGUUUUUCCCGUUAUUCCCAUUGUUUUUCCCGGUGUUUUUCCCGUUAUUCCCGUUGUUAUUCCCGGUGUUUUUCCCGUUAUUCCCGGUGUUUUUCCCAGUGUUUUUUUCCCCGCUGCUCUCCCGCCGCCGCUGCAGCCGCCGGAACAGCGCCGAGUGGCGGAUCGCCGUUCCCGGCCGCUGGAAUUCCACGUUCCAGAGGCAGCCGCGCGCGUCCACCGUGGCCUGCAGCGUCAGCGCCUGCCCCGCCCUGUCGCGACUGUCGCGAUUGCGGCGGCGACUGUCGCGAUUGCGGGGGUUGGGGGGGGCGCGGAUCGGGAUCCGCAGCCGCGCCAGGACCCCCGCCAGGCUGGGCAGCGGCCACGGGCCCGGGAAAUCCGGGAAUUCCGGGAAUCCCGGGGCAGUUUGGGGGGUUCCCGGUAAAAAUUGGGGGUUUUCGGGGGGAGUUUGGGAAUUUUCGGGUGGAAUUUGGGAAUUUUCGGGUGGAUUUUGGGGGGUUUUGGGUGGAAUUUGGGAAUUUUCGGGUGGAAUUUGGGAAUUUUCGGGUGGAGUUUGGGUGUUUUCCGGUAAAAAUUGGGGGUUUUCGGGUGGAAUUUGGGAAUUUUCGGGUGGAAUUUGGGGGUUUUCGGGUGGAAUUUGGGAAUUUUCGGGUGGAGUUUGGGGGUUUUCAGGUGGAAUUUGGGAAUUUUCGGGUGGAGUUUGGGAAUUUUCGGGUGGAUUUUGGGGAGUUUCGGGUGGAAUUUGGGAAUUUUUGGUUGGAAUUCGGGAGUUUUCUGGCAAAAAUCGGGAGUUUUCCGGUGAAAAUCGGGAGUUUUCCUUUGGAAUUUCGGAGGUUUCGGGGCUCCUGCGUUUUUUGGGUGGAAUUCCCGAGUUUUCCGGCGGGAUUUGGGCGCCCCCGGAGCUUCCCGGAGUUUCCCGGCCGGAAUUCGCCGCUCUCAGGAUUUUCCUUCUCCGGAUUUGGGAUCGGAGCCCGAAAUUGGGGCCGGGAUCCGCCGGGACCGGGAAUUUCGGGCUGGAAUCCGCCGGAUUUGGGAAUUUCGGGCUGGAAUCCGCUGGAUUUGGGAAUUUUGGGCUGGAAUCCGCCGGAUUUGGGAAUUUUGGGCUGGAAUCCGCCGGAUUUGGGAAUUUCGGGCUGGAAUCCGCUGGAUUUGGGAAUUUGGAGCCGGGAUCUGCUGGGAUUGGGAAUUUCGCUCCAGAACCCUCUGGAUUCGGGCAUUUUGAGGCGGAAUCCGCUGGAUUUGGGAAUUUGGAGCCGGGAUCCGCCGGGACCGGGAAUUUUGGGCUGGAAUCCGCUGGAUUUGGGAAUUUCGCUCCGGAACCUUCUGGAUCCGGGAAUUUGGAGCUGGGACCCUCUGGAUUCGGGAAUUUCGGGCCGGAAUCCUCCGGGAUCGGGAAUUUGGAGCCGGGAUCCUCCGGGAUCGGGAAUUUCGGGCUGGAAUCCUCCGGGAUCGGGAAUUUCGCUCUGGAAUCCUCCGGGAUCGGGAAUUUCUCCUCCACUCCUCCUCCUGCUGUGUCCCGGCUCGCUCUCUCCUCUCCCCCCGGGCCGUGCCCCCAAAUCCCCGGGAAGCUUUGGGGGUCCCUGGGCAGGUGCAGCCUCCGCCCUUCCUCCCCUUCUUCCUCCUCCUCCUCCUCCUCCUCGCCCCGGCCCAGGAUGGCCACCACGGCCCCGCAGACAUCGCGCAGGAUUUUACAGACGGAGCUGCGGGACACGCCGAAGGUGGCCUCCAGCGCCCGGUACUCGGUGCGGGAGCCCAGGCGGCUGAGGGUGAGCGCCAGGCGCACCUCGGCGGGCACCGCUCGCCUCAUGG
ensembl:lncRNA